rnacentral:rRNA from 1 species
UACGUAGGUGGCAAGCGUUGUCCGGAUUUAUUGGGUUUAAAGGGUGCGUAGGCGGUCCUAUAAGUCAGUGCUGAAAUAUCCCGGCUUAACCGGGAGGGUGGCAUUGAUACUGUAGGACUUGAGUAGAGUUGAGGUUGGCGGAAUUGACGGUGUAGCGGUGAAAUGCUUAGAUAUCGUCAAGAACACCGAUAGUGUAGACAGCUAACUAAGCUCUAACUGACGCUGAGGCACGAAAGUGUGGGGAUCAAACAGG